rnacentral:rRNA from 1 species
UACGUAUGGUGCAAGCGUUAUCCGGAUUUACUGGGUGUAAAGAGAGCGUAGACGGAGUGGCAAGUCUGAUGUGAAAACCCGGGGCUCAACCCCGGGACUGCAUUGGAAACUGUCAAUCUAGAGUACCGGAGAGGUAAGCGGAAUUCCUAGUGUAGCGGUGAAAUGCGUAGAUAUUAGGAGGAACACCAGUGGCGAAGGCGGCUUACUGGACGGUAACUGACGUUGAGGCUCGAAAGCGUGGGGAGCAAACAGG